rnacentral:rRNA from 1 species
UACGUAGGGUGCGAGCGUUAAUCGGAAUUACUGGGCGUAAAGCGUGCGCAGGCGGUUUUGUAAGCCAGAUGUGAAAUCCCCGGGCUUAACCUGGGAAUGGCAUUUGGGACUGCAAGGCUCGAGUGCGGCAGAGGAGACUGGAAUUCUCGGUGUAGCGGUGAAAUGCGUAGAUAUCGAGAGGAACACCUGCGGCGAAGGCGGGUUGCUGGGCCGACACUGACGCUGAUGCGCGAAAGCCAGGGGAGCGAACGGG